rnacentral:lncRNA from 1 species
AAGCGCUAGGUGUAUCCCUACUUUCAAGUUUUAGCUCCGGUUCUAAGUUCAUUAUCCGGUCUAAGUUUGCAACCUAUUCUAAGCAACCAAGAACCAACCAAAGGUAUAUACAUCAUCAACAAGACCAUGUCAUCAUCAGAUUCCUUAUUUACUCAGGGUGACAUAGCGAUCAAGCAGUCUCAAACUGUGAGAGGCAGACGAAUCGAUUCGAGUUUCUUAACCAUGCAUGGCGAACCUAAUCUCACGACAUCCGCGCACCACAAGGGCCGCUUCCUGUGUCGGCCGUCCCCAUCAAUUCCCAAGCGCGUGUCAGGUCCAAACUUCCCUUAGCAUGCAAUGCUCCACAGUCCCGGCCUCUAUCGUACUAUGACCGCACUUGCACCCACAUGAUGCACCAUGGGAACCUCGUUCCAGGGACAGCAGGGGUAUAAGCCACGCCCUAGUUCGAUCAGGUACUAGGCUUCCCCAUCCCAUACUAGGUAUGAGAUUAGUACUUUCAAACACUUGAUCAUGAACACCACCACUGUCGGGCCUUAACAAGUUUCAUAGACAGACGGGGCGAUCAGCCAACCACCAAAGAGUUACCCAAAACCCUACCCCGUCCAUCGUCCUUAUAGUUGUAACAGAAGGGUAAACAUCCAACUCCUACAACUCGCGAGUGACAGGGAAUCACUUGGCUUUUACCGUUUCCUAUUUAAGCAAAGCAUCUACUCGGUCCAACAACUAGUGUUCAGAUCCAGGGAGCUAAGUUAUGCAUCUAUGGUUCCAACCAACUCCUAUACGUAAAUGCACAAGCAUGUUAAAGAAGGCAUGCGCAAGUUUGGUAAAACACAUGGGGAUUCAUGCAUCCGGGGCUUGCCUUCGAGCAAGGAGGAGGGAAACUGCUCGUCUUCUUGGGCAGCUUCGGCUUCUGGAGGCAGGAGCUCAGCUACACCUCC